rnacentral:rRNA from 1 species
GACGAACGCUGGCGGCGUGCUUAACACAUGCAAGUCGAACGGAAAGGCCUGCUUUCCCUUGUGGAUUGCGGGUACUCGAGUGGCGAACGGGUGAGUAACACGUGAGUGAUCUGCCCCCAACUUGGGUAUAAGCCUGGGAAACUGGGUCUAAUUCCCGAUAGGACUGCAGGGUGGUGCCUGUGGUGGAAAACGAUUUUCUAGUGGUUGGGGAUGAGCUCGCGGCCUAUCAGCUUGUUGGUGGGGUAAUGGCCUACCAAGGCGGCGACGGGUAGCCGGCCUGGGAGGGUGGACGGCCACAUUGGGACUGAGAUACGGCCCAGACUCCUACGGGAGGCAGCAGUGGGGAAUAUUGCACAAUGGGCGGAAGCCUGAUGCAGCGACGCCGCGUGGGGGAUGACGGCCUUCGGGUUGUAAACUCCUUUCGACCGCGAGGAAGCCACCUGGUUGGAAGGAUGGUGACGGUAGUGGUAGAAGAAGCACCGGCUAACUACGUG